rnacentral:rRNA from 1 species
AUUGAACGUUGGCGGCAGGCCUAACACAUGCAAGUCGAGCGAGCGGCGGACGGGUGAGUAAUGUAUGGGAAUCUGCCUGAUGGAGGGGGAUAACUACUGGAAACGGUAGCUAAUACCGCAUACCAUCAGAUGAGCCCAUAUGGGAUUAGCUGGUAGGUGGGGUAACGGCUCACCUAGGCGACGAUCCCUAGCUGGUCUGAGAGGAUGAUCAGCCAAACGGGAACGGAGACACGGCCCAGAAUCCUACGGGAGGCAGCAGGGGGGAAUAUUGCACAAUGGGGGCAAGCCUGAUGCAGCCAUGCCGCGUGUAUGAAGAAGGCCUUCGGGUUGUAAAGUACUUUCAGGGGGGAGGCGGUACUGGCAGAAGAAGCACCGGCUAACUCCGUGCCAGCAGCCGCGGUAAUUC